rnacentral:rRNA from 1 species
GACGAAUGCUGGCGGCGUGCUUAACACAUGCAAGUCGAACGGAAAGGCCCUGCUUGCCGGGUACUCGAGUGGCGAACGGGUGAGUAACACGUGGGUGAUCUGCCCUGCACUUCGGGAUAAGCCUGGGAAACUGGGUCUAAUACCGGAUAGGAGCCAUUUUUAGUGCGAUGGUUGGAAAGUUUUUUCGGUGUAGGAUGAGCUCGCGGCCUAUCAGCUUGUUGGUGGGGUAAUGGCCUACCAAGGCGGCGACGGGUAGCCGGCCUGAGAGGGUGGACGGCCACAUUGGGACUGAGAUACGGCCCAGACUCCUACGGGAGGCAGCAGUGGGGAAUAUUGCACAAUGGGCGCAAGCCUGAUGCAGCGACGCCGCGUGGGGGAUGACGGCCUUCGGGUUGUAAACUCCUUUCGCUAGGGACGAAGCUUUUGUGACGGUACCUAGAGAAGAAGCACCGGCUAACUACGUG